rnacentral:rRNA from 1 species
AUUGAACGCUGGCGGCAGGCCUAACACAUGCAAGUCGAGCGAGCGGCGGACGGGUGAGUAAUGUCUGGGAAACUGCCUGAUGGAGGGGGAUAACUACUGGAAACGGUAGCUAAUACCGCAUACCAUCAGAUGUGCCCCGAUGGGAUUAGCUAGUAGGUGGGGUAAGGGCUCACCUAGGCGACGAUCCCUAGCGGGUCUGAGAGGAUGACCAGCCACACGGGAACUGAGAAACGGUCCAGACUCCUACGUGAGGCGGCAGUGGGGAAUAUUGGAAAAUGGGCGAAAGCCGGAUGCAGCCAGGCCGCGUGUGGGAAGAAGGUUUUCGGGUUGUAAAGUACUUUCAGCGGGGAGGCGGUACCUGCAGAAGAAGCACCGGCUAACUCCGUGCCAGCAGCCGCGGUAAUUC